UUACUGUGCAGUGUACGCCGGACAUGCAGGCGCAUUUCUCGUGGUUCUUUUAGUAGCGAAAAAUACAAAUGGAAGUAAUUUGCUAAUUAAUAAUGUGAUCAGUGUCAGGCUACAGGGGCAUCCAUUUCCUUCUCAUCUGUUGUGCCAAGGCAAAUUUUCGAUGAAGUUUACUGCAGGGAUCUGCUACGAUGCACACCAAGAACGUCAACGUGACGCAAGCUGAGAGCGCCAACGCCGAGACGAUACUGAGCAACAAACACGACCAACAAAACUGUGAAUCGCCAGUGAAAAAGCAAAUUUUCGAGAGCAUUCCAGAAAAUUCUUUCCUUCAUCGUCUACACCAACAAUUUCAGCGACAGCAACCAGCCGAUCAACACAGCAACACAACACAACCUCAACAACACGACACUCAAAACGAGCACAUCACCGAGCAACAACACAUUCGUAUCACGGCAUCCGGAGA
rnacentral:lncRNA from 1 species